rnacentral:tRNA from 1 species
GGCGCGUAGCUCAGCGGGAGAGCACUCCCUUCACACGGGAGGGGUCACAGGUUCAAUCCCUGUCGCGCCCACCA